GUUUCUAUGGUGUAGUGGUUAGCACGGUCGCCUCCGACGCGACAGACUCGGGUUCAAAUCCCGAAGGAUACU